rnacentral:rRNA from 1 species
GUGCCAGCCGCCGCGGUAAUACGGGGGGGGCAAGCGUUGUUCGGAAUUACUGGGCGUAAAGGGCGCGUAGGCGGCCUUCUAAGUCGGACGUGAAAUCCCUCGGCUUAACCGAGGAACUGCGUCCGAUACUGAAAGGCUUGAAUCCGGGAGAGGGAUGUGGAAUUCCAGGUGUAGCGGUGAAAUGCGUAGAUAUCUGGAGGAACACCGGUGGCGAAGGCGGCAUCCUGGACCGGCAUUGACGCUGAGGCGCGAAAGCUAGGGGAGCAAACGGGAUUAGAUACCCCGGUAGUCC